GACGAACGCUGGCGGCGUGCCUAAUACAUGCAAGUUGAACGCUUGAUUUUCACCGAAGCUUGCUUCACCGAAAAUCAAGAGUAGCGAACGGGUGAGUAACGCGUGGGUAACCUACCUUUCAGCGGGGGAUAACUAUUGGAAACGAUAGCUAAUACCGCAUAACAAUGUUGGAUGCAUAUUCGACAUUUGAAAGUAUCAAUUGGUACACUGAGAGAUGGACCCGCGUUGUAUUAGCUAGUUGGUAGUGUAAUGGACUACCAAGGCGAUGAUACAUAGCCGACCUGAGAGGGUGAUCGGCCACAUUGGGACUGAGACACGGCCCAAACUCCUACGGGAGGCAGCAGUAGGGAAUCUUCGGCAAUGGACGAAAGUCUGACCGAGCAACGCCGCGUGAGUGAAGAAGGUUUUCGGAUCGUAAAACUCUGUUGUUAGAGAAGAACGUUGCAUAGAGUGGAAAAUUAUGCAAGUGACGGUAUCUAACCAGAAAGGGACGGCUAACUACGG
rnacentral:rRNA from 1 species